UGGCCUACGGGAGGCAGCAGUAGGGAAUUUUCGUCAAUGGGCGCAAGCCUGAACGAGCAAUGCCGCGUGAACGAGGAAGGUCUUCGGAUCGUAAAGUUCUGUUGAAGGGGAAAAAGAGCGGAGAGAGGAAAUGGUCUCCGAUUGAUAUUACCCUUCGAGGAAGUCACGGCUAACUACGUGCCAGCAGCCGCGGUAAUACGUAGGUGGCGAGCGUUAUCCGGAAUGAUUGGGCGUAAAGGGUGCGCAGGCGGUUGAGUAAGACAGAUGUGAAAUCCCCGAGCUUA
rnacentral:rRNA from 1 species